rnacentral:lncRNA from 1 species
AGGUUAUUUGCAUGAAGGGAUGAAGUGGCAGGAGAAAUGAAGUCUUCCUAACUCUGGCCUCCUGCUGCUACACAAGCCAGGCCAAUGAUGUGGCAAGUCCAAGGGGCACAUGGCUUUUCAGUGUCAUUGUUUGAGGAGGCCAUGAGUGGUUUAGCUGGUGGCCUCUGCUUCUUUUUCUUUUGAGUGCUUCUGAAUACAUGACUGUGCUCUGAAUACAGAGCUACCACUGCGGGGUAAACCAAGCCACAGCUGUCCUCUUCCAAGGUUAGGGUCGCUGCUCAGCAGGAGCUGAUGUGCUACAAGGAAUGAUGAUCUUCUACUGGGAAAGUCUCCAGGGGAGCGAGCUUUCAAGAUCUGCUGCGGAGUGUGUCCUGCCAGUGCGUGGAAGGCCGUUUGUUUACAAAACUUGGUGAAUACCCAGAUGGCGCUUCCCUGUGCCCUGCAGCUGCUCAACAAGCAAGGAGACUUGCAGGCACCCACAGAACUCAUUCUGUGAAGCCCUUUCUUCUCAGAAGAGUCUUCACUGCUAUUGUGACGUCCUGCUUGCCCCUCCUGUUUUAUUCCAGAGGCACAACGUUAACACAAAAUGUUGGAGAUCAUGACAGCGUUGGGCUCCAAAAACAGGAUUGUUUGUUGUUUUGAAGCCAGUCCCCAAAAUGACUUGAACUUCUAAAGAAGAAGCUGGCAUCCUUUCUAUCAUUUACACAAUCUGAGGUUCAGUGUGUGAGGAUAGGAA